CCUACGGGUGGCUGCAGUGGGGAAUCUUGCGCAAUGGGCGAAAGCCUGACGCAGCGACGCCGCGUGCGGGAAGAAGGCCUUAGGGUUGUAAACCGCUUUCAGGAGGGACGAAGCCACUCGGGUGAAUAGCCCAGAGGGUGACGGUACCUCCAGAAGAAGCCCCGGCUAACUACGUGCCAGCAGCCGCGGUAAUACGUAGGGGGCAAGAGUUGUCCGGAUUUGCUGGGCGUAAGGAAGGUAGAGGGGGUGUGAAAACUGGAGGCGCAACCUUCAGACGUCGACCGAAACCCCCUGGCUAGAGUCCGGGAGAGGAGAGUGGAAUGCCUGGUGUAGCGGUGGAAUGCGCAGAUAUCAGGAAGAACACCCGUGGCGAAAGCGGCUCUCUGGAACGGUACUGACGCUGAGACGCGAAAGCGUGGGGAGCGAACAGGAUUAGAUACCCUAGUAGUC
rnacentral:rRNA from 1 species